CAUGAUGAACGCUAGCUACAGGCUUAACACAUGCAAGCCGAGGGGCAGCAUUUCAGUUUGCUUGCAAACUGGAGAUGGCGACCGGCGCACGGGUGAGUAACACGUAUCCAACCUGCCGAUAACUCGGGGAUAGCCUUUCGAAAGAAAGAUUAAUACCCGAUGGUAUAAUCAGACCGCAUGGUCUUGUUAUUAAAGAAUUUCGGUUAUCGAUGGGGAUGCGUUCCAUUAGGCAGUUGGUGAGGUAACGGCUCACCAAACCUUCGAUGGAUAGGGGUUCUGAGAGGAAGGUCCCCCACAUUGGAACUGAGACACGGUCCAAACUCCUACGGGAGGCAGCAGUGAGGAAUAUUGGUCAAUGGGCGCAGGCCUGAACCAGCCAAGUAGCGUGAAGGAUGACUGCCCUAUGGGUUGUAAACUUCUUUUAUAUGGGAAUAAAGUUUUCCACGUGUGGAAUUUUGUAUGUACCAUAUGAAUAAGGAUCGGCUAACUCCGUGCCAGCAGCCGCGGUAAUACGGAGGAUCCGAGCGUUAUCCGGAUUUAUUGGGUUUAAAGGGAGCGUAGGUGGACAGUUAAGUCAGUUGUGAAAGUUUGCGGCUCAACCGUAAAAUUGCAGUUGAUACUGGCUGUCUUGAGUACAGUAGAGGUGGGCGGAAUUCGUGGUGUAGCGGUGAAAUGCUUAGAUAUCACGAAGAACUCCGAUUGCGAAGGCAGCUCACUGGACUGCAACUGACACUGAUGCUCGAAAGUGUGGGUAUCAAACAGGAUUAGAUACCCUGGUAGUCCACACAGUAAACGAUGAAUACUCGCUGUUUGCGAUAUACAGUAAGCGGCCAAGCGAAAGCAUUAAGUAUU
rnacentral:rRNA from 1 species